rnacentral:rRNA from 1 species
GACGAACGCUGGCGGCGUGCUUAACACAUGCAAGUCGAGCGGUAAGGCCCUUUCGGGGGUACACGAGCGGCGAACGGGUGAGUAACACGUGGGUGACCUGCCCUCAGCUCUGGGAUAAGCCUGGGAAACCGGGUCUAAUACUGGAUAUGACUCCAUGACGCAUGUUGUGGGGUGGAAAGCCUUGUGCGGCUGAGGAUGGGCCCGCGGCCUAUCAGCUUGUUGGUGGGGUGANGGCCUACCAAGGCGACGACGGGUAGCCGGCCUGAGAGGGCGACCGGCCACACUGGGACUGAGACACGGCCCAGACUCCUACGGGAGGCAGCAGUGGGGAAUCUUGCGCAAUGGGCGAAAGCCUGACGCAGCGACGCCGCGUGAGGGAUGACGGCCUCGGUGUAACGUCUUCUACGCUCCGACGAACGACGAGAGUGACGGUAGGAGCGAGAAGAAG